UUUGGCUGCUGUGAUGUUAUUCAUUUAUCUAUUUUUGGCAUUUAAUUUUUUUUCUUUCUUCUUGGUCUUGACUCCUGUUCUCCCUUGGCAUCUUAUUUGCUGUUUUUCUAUUUCUGUUGGGGCUUUUUUUCCAUGAAUUUUCUCACUUUAUUGAAUAACAUGUGGACUAGUGUUUUCAGGAUCUACAUCAAACAUUUUGAUUGUCUCUAGUUUAUCAGAGUUUUUCUUAUGGACUUUUGCCUUGAUUUGUUGGGAUGGGUUUUCUCUGUCUGAUGCUGGCUUGAGUGUCAGGUCACACAGAAGAUUCUGUAUGAAAUGGCUGGUAAGGGAUGGCUGGAAUGGCAUCCACAAAGAGGUGCCAGACCUGAUUUAGCCACAAAGAAGUCCCUGGAUAAAUGAAGACACUUGCGGCUCCAAGUGGGGAAUGUGCAUGAACAGGGUUAUUGGUGGGACUUAGUAUCUGCACAACAAAUUCACCAGUUCCGGUGUGUUUUUUAUUUUUAUUUUUUAUAGGACAAAGAGAAAUUAAGAGGGAGAAAUGGACACCUGCAACACUGCAUCACUGCUUGUGAAGCUUCUCCACAGCCACCAAGACGUGGAUGCUACCUUGUCACUAACAUGACUUCCCUGGGCAGAAAACUUCACCGAAGAGUACUGGAACCCCACCUCUCCAGAGCCCUGUACCACUAGGGAAAGAUAGAAACAGUCUGGGAGUAUGGAUUGAACUGACAAUGCCCAUUUCCAGCGGAGAAGCAAUUACAGAAGCCAGACCUUCCACUUUCUGUACCCCAUAAUAAUCCUGGGUCCAUACUCCCAGAGGGAUAAAGAAUAGGAAAGCUUCCAAUUGAGAGGGUGGGAUGGAGAACUCUGUUGGUGAGAACUGUGUGAAAUUGUUCCCCUCUUAUCCAAUGGACUUGUCAUUCAUUAUUAAGUAAAAUAAAAGGGGGGCAUUGCCUCACACAGAGUGA